AUUGAACGCUGGCGGCAGGCCUAACACAUGCAAGUCGAGCGAGCGGCGGACGGGUGAGUAAUGUAUGGGGAUCUGCCCGAUAGAGGGGGAUAACUACUGGAAACGGUGGCUAAUACCGCAUACUAUCGGAUGCACCCAUAUGGGAUUAGCUAGUAGGUGGGGUAAAGGCUCACCUAGGCGACGAUCCCUAGCUGGUCUGAGAGGAUGACCAGCCACAAGGGGACGGAGACACGGGCCAGAAUCCUACGGGAGGCAGCAGUGGGGAAUAUUGCACAAUGGGGGCAAGCCUGAUGCAGCCAUGCCGCGUGUAUGAAGAAGGCCUUCCGGUUGUAAAGUACUUUCAGCCUGGAGGCGUUACCGGCAGAAGAAGCACCGGCUAACUCCGUGCCAGCAGCCGCGGUAAUUC
rnacentral:rRNA from 1 species